CUCCUGCUGUUGCAGGAGGGAAGGAGGGUUUUCCCCAGCAAGAAGCUUUCCCCCAGUCAGAAGACAUGUACCCCAGUCCAAAUUUGCUGGGACAUGGCCAGUAACAAGGAGGAGGG